GGAUUAGGCACGCAAGUCGAACGAAGACGGUUGGGUAGCAAUAUUUGACCGGACUGAGUGGCGAAAGGGGCAGUAAUGCGUGGGUAACCUACCUCCGGGAUGGGCAUAGCCGGACUAACGUCCGGGUAAUUCCCAGCGAGUUGGCGAAGCGGCAUCGCUUUGCCAAGAAAUGGAUUCCGCCUGGCGAGGGGCUCACGUCGUAUUAGCUUGUUGGCGGGGUAACGGCCCACCAAGGCUAAGAUGCGUAGCGGGUGUGAGAGCACGACCCGCGCCACUGGCACUGAGACACUGGCCAGACACCUACGGGUGGCUGCAGUCGAGGAUCUUUGGCAAUGGGCGCAAGCCUGACCAAGCGACGCCGCGUGUGCGAUGAAGGCCUUCGGGUUGUAGAGCACUGUCGAGGGGGAUAAAACCGCAAGGUUGAUAGAUCCCUGGAGGAAGCACGGGCUAAGUUCGUGCCAGCAGCCGCGGUAAGACGAACCGUGCGAACGUUGUUCGGAAUCACUGGGCUUAAAGGGCGCGUAGGCGGCUUGUCAAGUCAGGGGUGAAAUCCUGCAGCUCAACUGUAGAAGUGCCUUUGAUACUGGCGAGCUCGAGGGAGGUAGGGGUGGGUGGAACUUCCGGUGGAGCGGUGAAAUGCGUUGAUAUCGGAAGGAACGCCGGUGGCGAAAGCGACCCACUGGAUCUCUACUGAC
rnacentral:rRNA from 1 species